CAUGGCCAUUCAUGCAUGGCCAUUGAAUGCCUAAGGGAGCCAGGCCAUCCUUUGUGCCCUGUUAACUAUGGGCCAGAAGUUCCAAAUAACCCCUGAGAUUGACAGUCUCUCAGUGCCUUCAGAUUUAGACUUGAACUACACUAGCAUCUCUCUUGGGUCUCUAGCUUUGCUGAUUCACCCUGAAGAUUUGGGACUUGUCAGUGUCCAUAAUCAGUUGUUCCUCAGUAUCAACGGAGGAUUAGCUCCUGGACCCCUGUGGAUACCAUAAUUCACAGAUACUCAAGUUUCUUCCAGCCAUCUGUAUCUGCAGGUUCCACAUCCACAGAUGGGGAGGAAAUUGAUCCACAGUUGUUCGAAUCUGCAGAAGAAGAAACCAAAGAUGUAAAAGGUCGAGUGUACAUUCUUUUUUUGUACCAAAUCUUUGAAAUCUGAUGUGUAUUUAACACUUACAGCAUAUCUUAGUUUGGAGACUUGAUUU